rnacentral:rRNA from 1 species
GGGGUCUGACCCCUUCCGUGCCGGAGUUAACACAAUAAGUAAUCCACCUGGGAAGUACGACCGCAAGGUUGAAACUCAAAGGAAUUGACGGGGGCCCGCACAAGCAGUGGAGUAUGUGGUUUAAUUCGAAGCAACGCGAAGAACCUUACCAGGUCUUGACAUCCAGCGAAUCUGGCAGAGAUGCCGGAGUGCCCUUCGGGGAAUGCUGAGACAGGUGGUGCAUGGUUGUCGUCAGCUCGUGUCGUGAGAUGUUGGGUUAAGUCCCGCAACGAGCGCAACCCUUGUGAUUAGUUGCUACGCAAGAGCACUCUAAUCAGACUGCCGUUGACAAAACGGAGGAAGGUGGGGACGACGUCAAAUCAUCAUGCCCCUUAUGACCUGGGCUACACACGUACUACAAUGGCCGUUAACAACGGGAAGCGAAGCCGCGAGGUGGAGCAAAACCCCAAAAACGGUCUCAGUUCGGAUCGCAGGCUGCAACCCGCCUGCGUGAAGCUGGAAUUGCUAGUAAUCGCGGAUCAUCAUGCCGCGGUGAAUACGUUCCCGGGCCUUGUACACACCGCCCGUCACACCAUGGGAGCCGGUAAUACCCGAAGUCGGUAGCCUAACCGCAAGGAAGGCGCCGCCGAAGGUAGGAUUGGCGACUGGGGUGAAGUCGUAACAAGGUAGCCG